GCCGGGAUGGCGGAACGGUAGACGCUGCGGACUUAAAAUCCGCUGGGGGAGACCCCGUCUGGGUUCGAAUCCCAGUCCCGGCA
rnacentral:tRNA from 1 species